rnacentral:lncRNA from 13 species
CUGACCUGGACUAAAUUUAGUUGCUGUGGCAUACCCCACAGGAGAGCUGGCUAUCGGACAGACAGAGGCAUUCUAUCCCAGGAGCACCGAGGACAGAGUCCUUGCUUCCUGUCAGGGAGACCAUCUCUCUUGGUAUCCACAGUGAGCCAAGUGAAAUGCAUCGAGAAGAAAUCAUAUCCACAGAAUUCUCCAGGAAGAGUGCUCAAUGCUGAUACCGAUGCAGAGUCUCGAGCUGGAAUGCCCGUCACUGGCCUGCCUCUCAGCCUUGGUUACAACCUCACAAAGCUCCUGACCUUCCCCACCAGGACAUUUCUCAUCUACUCUGAAAAUGUGUUGUUUGGAUAAAAUAUGGACUUCAAAAAUCUAAAUGUCAAAUGAAAACAAAAAUAAUGUGAGAGGAAGAGAAAACCCAUGUAAUGAACAUCCAAAUUCACAUAACUACUGUGACUAAGGAUUCAACAUUUGCUCUGAGCUUCAUAGCAGCCAAAAGAAAAACUGGCAUUUUUCAUUUUACUUUAUUAUCUGUUACUAAACAGUGACUAAAAGGAUAAUGUACAUUGACAUUGAACAAAAGCAUAAUAAAAUGACUUUUAAUUGUAUGCUGGUUACGUAU